rnacentral:rRNA from 1 species
GACGAACGCUGGCGGCGUGCUUAACACAUGCAAGUCGAACGGAAAGGCCCUGCGUUUGUGGGGUGCUCGAGUGGCGAACGGGUGAGUAACACGUGAGUAACCUGCCCUUGACUUUGGGAUAACUUCAGGAAACUGGGGCUAAUACCGUAUAGGAGCUCCUGCUGCGUGGUGGGGGUGGGAAAGUUUCGGCGGUUGGGGAUGGACGCGCGGCUUAUCAGCUUGUUGGUGGGGUAGUGGCUUACCAAGGCUUUGACGGGUAGCCGGCCUGAGAGGGUGACCGGCCACAUGGGGACUGAGAUACGGCGCAGACUCCUACGGGAGGCAGCAGUGGGGAAUAUUGCACAAUGGGCGGAAGCCUGAUGCAGCAACGCCGCGUUCGGGAUGACGGCCUUCGGGUUGUAAACCGCUUUCGCCUGUGACGAAGCGUGAGUGACGGUAAUGGGUAAAGAAGCACCGGCUAACUACGUG